rnacentral:tRNA from 1 species
CUUUCGAUAGCUCAGCUGGUAGAGCGCAGGACUGUAGGGUAAAUAGAGAAAUCCUUAGGUCGCUGGUUCAAUUCCGGCUUGAAGCA